rnacentral:lncRNA from 1 species
AUGCUGGGAAAGAUUGAAGGUGGGAGGAAAAGGGGACGACAGAGGAUGAGAUGGAUGGAUGGCAUCACUGACUCAACGGACUUGCGUUUGAGCAAGCUCCAGGAGCUGAUGGACAGGGAGGCCUGGCAUGCUGCAGUCCAUGGGGUCACAGAGUCAGACAUGAGUGAGCGACUAACUGAACUGAACCUGUUCAUUGCACCCAGGACGGCAGGUGGGAGGCGUGUCCUCUCCGGCGGCCCCUCUGGCAUUUGGAUUGACUUCAGCUCAGGCGCGUUCGGCCGCCUCACCCACGCUGGAAACACAGCAUGUUCCCAGAGUGUCCUUUCCUCAGAAGCUGGCUCAGUGGGUCAGGUCACUGGCUGUGCAUUUAGUGAAAACCUGGGCUCGCCCUGCGGGGCUCCUGGGGCCAGCUGGUGGGGAGCCUGUCCUGUGGCUCCCCUGGGCUGCGUCCCCACUCGCUGUGCUGCUCUCAUCAUGGGGCGUCCACAGCAUGGCGGUCGGACCACGGCCACGCAGUCCUCAGUGCCCACAACGGGGCGCCCCCGGGACGAGGCUGGAGAAGGGUGCACAGGCUGGGCGGGUGGGGGCGUCGGGCUGAGAGCCCCGCAGGUCACAAGGGUCCUCAAGCCCCUGACCCGGGGACGCAGCUGGGGUGCCCUGCAAGGGCCAGCAGACAACCCGGGGGCGUGCAGGGUCUGGAGCAUCCCAGGACGGCGGGAUUCAGGGGUUCUGGUGUGGGUUGGGCUGGUGGGGGGGUGCCGACCGCCCUGCCGCGGGGGUCCUGCUACCGCGCCUGGCCUCCUGACCGGCCAGGAGCCCAGCUUGGGAGGGAGGCAGGGCUGCCCACCAGGUCAGUGGGCGCGGGGCCAGGAGGGGGCCCUGAAGCCCCGCAGCCAGUCCCCCUGCCCUCCCAGCUCAGACCCCAGGAGGUGUCGGACGGUUCUCACCCAGGCGGCCUGGGAGCGCAAGGCUGACCGCGGGCACCUGACCCCCACAGCCAGGCCCUGGAGCCUGCUGCCCUCAAGUUCCCAUGGCCCUCCGGCACCCCAGGCUGGGCCCACCUGCACCCACCUGUCCUCCUUGGAGGAACGGCCGUCCCCACCUGCGUCGGCUUGAGCCACGGAAACGCAGGAUGGUCGUUAUGGCCACCCGGCCCGAAGGCAGGUGCUAUGGGGCCGCCACGGGGCGGAGCCCCCGACACCCAGGGGAGGUCCUCCCACAGCCUGGGACUCCAGACCUAUUGCCCGCCCCCCACCAUGCUCUCUAGGUACCUGGACCUGAGGAAAGGGGUGGGGGCCACGAACCACCAUCACCCCACCCCCCAGGGAUGCCUGCUGCCACCUGCCCUGGGCCCUGAGCCCCAGGCCCCUGACACAGACACGCCCUGGAGGACAGACCCCCACGGGCUGGACACACCCGUGUGCCGCCUGCGGGCCCCUGGUUCCAGGGCAGCUGGUGGGCAGAGGCAGGCCCCUCCCGCCCCAACCUCUUCCCAGGAAGAACAACAAACCACCCUCAGCCCCCUGCGGGGGUGGGCCCUGGGGCACCGUGGGACCUGCAGGCUCCUUACCUGAACUGAGGUCCCCUCCAGGCCCAGGGGGCUGUGGGUGGGCUUGGGGGUGGCAGGGGCCUGGGCAGCAGGCCGGCACAGCUGGGCAACCGUCUCGUGGACUCUGGGGAAAGUGGUAUGGGCAGUUCCUCCUCUAAAGUGGGGGCCACACUCCUUAGUCCUGAGUGUGCGUUUCCCCUGCAUUCCCGGUAGCCAGAGCGGGUGUCGCUCUGGGAGGCCCUGGCGGAUGCGAGGGGCGGCCGGGGACCCCACGCUGUGGUCGUCUCCCAGUCGAGGCGAGCGGGGGCCACACUGGGGCAGGAAGCUGCCGGAGGCCAGGCCUACUGGGGACCCGGCUUCACGGGCCCGGCCCCAUCUCUGCCCCAGGAGAACCGCAUCCUCCGGGCUGGGGGGCAGCACGGUCCACCGGUGUUUGCUGCAGCCGGGGUCUGGGCUGGGGCUGGGACACGGCAAAGCUCCCCGGAGCUGCGGGAAGGCACGAGCCUCGGGCCGGGCUCCACCCACCCCCAGGAAGGGCCCCCAACUCGCGGUCUAGGCGGGUCCGCGCAGCCCCUCGAGAGCGCCGGCGGCGUGGUCGUCACGCACGGGCGUGCGCACGUGUACGUCGCAGGGCGGGGCCAGACGCCCAGGCCUCAGAGUCCCGCCCCCCGCCCUCCGCCCCCGAGGACCCCAGUCCGAGCGGGGCCUCCACCGUUGCUCCGUCCCUGCUGGGGACCCAGACGGCACCCCGGGAGUGGACGCGGGCCUGGUGUCGGGGGAAGGAGAACCCCCCAGACCCACCCUGGCCGCCGGGCUGAGCCUGGGCCUCAGGGAUACGGCAACAGCCCCUGCCCCACGGCCCCCUCUCUCUGCGAGGACCCCAAGGGUCCAGCACCCAGACCUGAGUUGAGGCAGGCACGUCACCCCUUGAGCUCCUGCCCGGCACUCCGGUGGGACCCCAGGCCGCCCCCGCCGUGGGGUCGGGCCUGGUGGGAUCGCUGCCUGCGAGGACGAAAGUGGGCCCUGCUAGGUGCCUGGCUGGUGGAGUCAGCCCUCCCCAGGGGAGACGCAGAUCUCAGAGACAAGGGGGACUUGGG